UACGCAGGGUGCAAGCGUUGUCCGGAAUUAUUGGGCGUAAAGAGCUCGUAGGCGGUCUGUCGCGUCGGCUGUGAAAUCCCGAGGCUCAACCUCGGGUCUGCAGUCGAUACGGGCAAACUAGAGUAUUGCAGGGGAGACUGGAAUUCCUGGUGUAGCGGUGAAAUGCGCAGAUAUCAGGAGGAACACCGGUGGCGAAGGCGGGUCUCUGGGCAAUAACUGACGCUGAGGAGCGAAAGCGUGGGGAGCGAACAGG
rnacentral:rRNA from 1 species